rnacentral:rRNA from 1 species
UACGUAGGGUGCAAGCGUUAAUCGGAAUUACUGGGCGUAAAGCGUGCGUAGGCGGUUUGUUAAGUCCGCUGUGAAAGCCCCGGGCUUAACCUGGGAAUUGCGUUGGAGACUGCAAGGCUUGAAUCUGGCAGAGGGGGGUAGAAUUCCACGUGUAGCAGUGAAAUGCGUAGAGAUGUGGAGGAACACCGAUGGCGAAGGCAGCCCCCUGGGUCAAGAUUGACGCUCAUGCACGAAAGCGUGGGGAGCAAACAGG